rnacentral:rRNA from 1 species
UACAGAGGUCUCAAGCGUUGUUCGGAUUCAUUGGGCGUAAAGGGUGCGUAGGUGGCGAGGUAAGUCUGGUGUGAAAUCCCCGGGCUCAACCUGGGAAUUGCAUUCGAUACUGGAUGGCUAGAGUUCGGCAGAGGGAAGCGGAAUUUCCGGUGUAGCGGUGAAAUGCGUAGAUAUCGGAAGGAACAUCAGUGGCGAAAACGGCUUCCUGGACCAGAACUGACGAUAAGGCACGAAAGCGUGGGGAGCAAACAGG